rnacentral:rRNA from 1 species
CACGCUGGCGGCGUGCCUCAGACAUGCAAGUCGAACGCGAAAGCCUCCUUCGGGGGGCAAGUAGAGUGGCGCACGGGUGAGUAACACGUAGGUAAUCUACCUUUGGAUUGGGAAUAACAACCGGAAACGGUUGCUAAUACCGAAUAAUGCAGCGGCACCUAAUGGUGACAGUUGUUAAAGCGGGGGAUCGCAAGACCUCGCGUCUGAAGAGGAGCCUGCGGCAGAUUAGCUAGUUGGUAAGGUAACGGCUUACCAAGGCGAUGAUCUGUAGCCGGCCUGAGAGGGCGGUCGGCCACACUGACACUGACAUACGGGUCAGACUCCUACGGGAGGCAGCAGUCGGGAAUUUUGGGCAAUGGGCGAAAGCCUGACCCAGCAACGCCGCGUGAAGGAUGAAAUCCUUCGGGAUGUAAACUUCGCAAGAACGGGAAGAAUAAGUAAGAGUUAAUAUCUCUUACGAUGACGGUACUGUUUGUAAGCUCCGGCUAACUCCGUGCCAGCAGCCGCGGUAAUACGGGGGGAGCAAGCGUUGUUCGGAUUUACUGGGCGUAAAGGGCGCGUAG